rnacentral:lncRNA from 1 species
GGUGUAUGGAUAUAUCAUAUAUUUGUGUGUGUAACUAUACAUAGAUAGCUGCAUACUUACACACCCGCACAGGUAAAUAUUUAUAGAUACUGACCUCUUCAGAUUAAAGUCCAAGGCACUUUUUACAGUGAACAGGUUAAAGCCAUAGUUUAAAACAUGCCUGUUUCUGGGUACAGCUUGGGUUUAUGGCGAUGCUGUGGGCAAGGGCCAGUCCCUGCUCCCUGCCCCUGGCUCAGAGGUUGGACCAGGAGGAGGGAUGUAAGCCCCCGACCACAAAGACACGCAAGCAGCUCCCGCUGGGAAGGCAUCGGCGGGUUGGGAAUGCCAAGACCCCAGCGGGGGGAAGAACACUUUGGGCAGAAGGAGGAGCAGAGCUGGGUGCUAAGAACCCCUGGCUGAGAGCACCCACUGGGCACACGGUGCUGGAGCCCAGAGCCCUGCCCGGUGCCCCACAGGGCUCCGAGGUGGCUCAUCCCACUGGGAAAUAGCUAAUCCCAUGGAGUAGGUUUUCCCUUCCCCUGCACAAGCCCAGGUCUUGGCCACCCUGAGCCCGCUGGGUGCCUUUGGGAGGGAGCUCAGGUGCUUGCAGCAGCAUCUUCCCUGUGCUGAGGGAUCACCUUCAUCCCCAGCAAACCUACCUGGUGCCAUCGCAGGCUGGGAGAUGCCGUACCGAAUGGUACAGAGGGAUGAGCACCUAAGGGUCCCCAGAGGCAGCAGGGGAGCCUCAGCUCUGCCCUCAGGGGGAACCAGCCCCUCUCCUCCGGCAGAGCUAGAAACCCCCAAGCCGGUCUCAACCAUCGCCCUCCAACAACCGCCCCACAAGUGGAGGCGAAUAUGUGGGGCAGGAACAGCCCAGGCAGCAGAACCAGCUCCUUUCUGCGAGGGGAUUUUGGGGCCAGCAAGGAGCCACCGGAGCUCAUGGCACCAUUGCUGCUGGGACUUGGCCCUACUGGGUUUAAAUGGCCUGGCAGGGUCAGGCCAGCACAGUCAUAACAGUGACAACAAGGAGAGCACACAGGGACUGCGACUCAGGGAGGAGCAGCCACUGGGGGGGGGCUUCCUCUGGAAUUGGUCCCAUAGGUGCUGCCUGGUCCCGCUCCAUGCGGGAGAACAGGCCGGGAAGGAGCAUCAGGGCUGCAAAGGAACAUUGUUUGUCCACAGAUGUUGAUCCAAUGGGGAUCAGGUCCAGCAGCUCAGGGGCUUGAGGUAAGGAAGAGACGCACUCUGAGGCUCGAGGAACCUCAGCCUGGGUUGGGUUGAAGGGACCUUAAAGCUCAUCUAAAGCCAAAAGGUGCGGGAGCCUGGCUGGAGGAGGGAAGCAGCGCGCUCCACGCCAGGACAACCUCCAUCCUUUAGGGAAAGGGGGAAUUGUGGCUGUGCCCAGGAAGAUGAGUCCCUCUUUCAGCCGGAGGAGAUUGCCUGGGGGGGGAGGGAGGGGGGGCAAUGGCUUUCCAGAAAGUGCUGGGACCCCAGGCAAAAAAUGGGAGCAGACCUUUCCCUAGGGAGCAGCAAAGCUCUGGUGCCAUCGGGCUACAUGGCUCCGGCCCUGUUAAAGGCCAGCUUCCAGGUAAUGGGAAUGAAGAGCUGGGGGGGUAAAGGAUGAGGAGCACGGGGAGCCUCGGGAGCACCAGGAGCAGCGGCUGUACUCAGAAACAGACACUUUGGCAGCGGGCUGGCAUUGCUGCCGCUGCCCACCGCGUAGGGUACAAAACCAGGAUGGAAAGUUACAAGAACCUCUCUAAGAUAGCAAUAUAUUUCAUAGGUAAAAUAAACUAUUGUACUUUCCCCUAGUGUUAAAAAAGAAGCGAGCGGCGCAGAGGCGAGACGCGGACCAGGGCGAAGCUCCUGCAGGCUGUGGCUUUGCAGAGGACGUGGUGUUUGGCCGGUGUUCCUCGGGGGUUUCCUCCUCGGGGCUCUUGGAGCAAAGGGAAAACCAGAGGCAGGUUGUGGCUGGGGGGGUCCUGGAGGGGUUCCAAGCUUGGGUGCGUCCCGGCUGCGGUUGGUGGCAUCGCUUUGGGGUUCUGACGUUGUGGGUUUGUUCUUGUGCUUUUCCUCCAGCUCGGCUGCUGGUCCCAGCUCUUCACUUGUUCCGAUGCCCUUUCGGGGCUCCCAGC